CAGGUCAGGAGAACAGGAGUUCAAAAACCAGAGGGGCGGACAUAGGGCAGUUAUGCCUAUAUUUUGUAAAGGGAUCCACAGCACCAACACUUGUCUUUAGACAUCACAAAGAGAUUAGAAUUAACCUUUUGGGCUCACACUGGCUCCUGCACAGUUAAUCAGUAGCAAGGGGAAAUUGCAGAAGCUUACCUCCGUGACUCCAAGAGCAAUGCAGACAGCGCCGACCCACACCAGAUUUUUCAACAGGAAGACACCGAUUGCCCAGAGGCAGCCCUGAGGAGGAUCGCACGCCCUCACUCUUCACCACGCAGCAGGAAUCUGGCACGGCGUCGUGCUUUCCCCAGCCCGUGCUCUGGGACCAGUCGGCAUAGCUGUCCGCA